UGGGGGAUAUUGCACAAUGGGCGAAAGCCUGAUGCAGCGACGCCGCGUGGGGGAUGAAGGCCUUCGGGUUGUAAACUUCUUUUGCUCUGAACAAGGCAUGCCUUUGGGGUGUGUUGAGUGUAGGGGUUGAUUAGUGCCGGCUAACUACGUGCCAGCAGCCGCGGUAAUACGUAGGGCGCGAGCGUUGUCCGGAAUUAUUGGGCGUAAAGGGCUUGUAGGUGGCUGGUUGCGUCUGUCGUGAAAGCUCAUGGCUUAACUGUGGGUUUGCGGUGGGUACGGGCUGGCUUGAGUGCAGUAGGGGGGGCUGGAAUUCCUGGUGUAGCGGUGGAAUGCGCAGAUAUCAGGAGGAAUACCGGUGGCGAAGGCGGGUCUCUGGGCUGUUACUGACGCUGAGGAGCGAAAGCGUGGGGAGCGAACAGG
rnacentral:rRNA from 1 species